rnacentral:rRNA from 1 species
CGGACGGGUGAGUAACGCGUGGAAAACCUGCCGAAUACUGGGGGAUAACACUUAGAAAUAGGUGCUAAUACCGCAUAAGCGCACAGCUUCGCAUGAAGCGGUGUGAAAAACUCUGGUGGUAUACGAUGGUUCCGCGUCUGAUUAGCUAGUUGGUGGGGUAAUGGCCUACCAAGGCAACGAUCAGUAGCCGGCCUGAGAGGGUGAACGGCCACAUUGGGACUGAGACACGGCCCAAACUCCUACGGAAGGCAGCAG